GCCACCCCUUCCCAGGCCUCAUUUCAGGGUUGGCAGCAAAAGAGCAUAUCUCUUUGAAGAUCUCGGCUUAUUUGAGGCCUUUCUGAGCUUCAAAUGGCUCCUUUUAAACUGCACCUCUUCAACAAAUUUCCCACUUUGGUGCAAGACCAUUCUAUUCACAUCUGGAAGCCAUCCUUAUAUUUUGUGUUAUCGGCCCCUCUUUGUUGGCGGAUUAACAAUUAGCCUGUUAUACUUCAGCCUUCACUACAAACUGCAGCACUUUUCUCUGUAUGAAGAGAGAAAAGAAGGGGAAGGGGAGACAAAGCAGCAGCAAAGCAGGGAUAAUAUUAAUGAUUUCUUUUACAGGCAGUGAGGAAAUGCAACCACCCAGAGGCUAGGAUUAUUAAAGAUGAAGAAUGUUAUCAACCAUUUUUUUUAAAGUCACAUUUUUUUAAUUACCUGGCACUUAAUAUCUAUUUAGUUGUAUUUGUUAGAUCUCUACUCCUGCAAAAAGUUAUGUAUUUACAGAAUAUUGAUAAAGGAGCUGUAUUCUUUCCCCUCAGAACUCAUUAGAUAAAUGAAUGGUAUUGGUAGGUUAAAGCUGGAGGUAAGAUUUUACCUUAUCUGUGUUGUACACGAGGAACUUUAUUCUGGCCAUUCUCAAUCCGGUAUACUUGACUUUGCAGAUUUAUUUCCAGACACCAAAAAUAACAUCACUUCAUAUUUCUUGAACUCCACCUAUCUUAUGAAAAGUUGGAAUAUUCAUACUUUUGUGUUUUUAUAUAUGCCUUGUAUUAAAGAUCAUAAGUUACUUCGUUAAUACUUCAGAAUGUCUGCAUAAAUAUCAAUGACAGCAGUCAAUAGCAGGAUGCUAAACACAAGAGGUUCGUGGCCUUAUCACCUAUAUUUUAUCUUGUGUAGCCUAGGAAGUUUUGUAGAGUAGUUAUGCACAGCAGAUACAAUGACAAAACUGGUGAAGAUCAUAUUGUUUUUGGUUGUAUUGGUGUGCUUGUUUCAGAAAUACUGCUUUCUUUCAAUUGCACCAGCUAUAGCACAUCACUUUUAAGUACUUCAAGAAGGUAAAAUAAUAUUGAAGCACGGAAUAUGUUUGGGCUACUAUAGGACUGUGUAAUUCAAAAAGGAAUUAUUUUUAUUUACAUUGAAGGUUGUGUUCAAAACAUUUAACUAAACUUACUGAAAAACAUGUUUGAAGAGUGUCUUAUUAUUUCUGUAAACUUUUUAGGAAUCUCUGUUUGUUUGCUACUAAAGUGAAUUUUGAGGCUUUCUGGCUAGAAUUCUCUAUAGUGUUGCCUUGCAAUGUUAUAUGUUCUUGUACUGAAGGAAAAUAAAUAUG